ncrna:Acyrthosiphon pisum (pea aphid) microRNA api-mir-276 precursor
GACCACUAGCGAGGUAUAGAGUUCCUACGUUCAAAUUAUUAAUGUUACUCGUAGGAACUUCAUACCGUGCUCUUGGA